UUGUAAAAUGAACAUUUGUAUAUAUACAUAUGUAUGCAUGCAGGCAUCUAUACAUCUUUAUUUGCAUUUAUAUGCAUAGCAUUUUUAUAAACGUUGAACAUGGAAUGUGUUUCUAUUGUCACCAUCGGCGUUUUCGGAACCACUGGAGUACGAAAUAGUGCAUACUUUUAAGGCUGAUCGUUCAAAGAACAUAAAAAAUCAAGAAAUCGGGAAAUUUUUGAAACGUAGCAGCUUUAUUGAUUUAUUUAUUGAUGGAAUAUUUAAAUUAGAAAUAAAUAUUAUAUAUUAUUAUAUUAUUAAUGGAA